GGACAGGCGAGCAAUUUGGCUGGGAGAUCUGUCACCCUGUUGGUGGUCAGGGCACUGAUUGAGCUGAUCUGGCUGCUUAGGACAUGUUCCCUUCCUCCAUCACCACUCCAUGCGCUUCCUCCCUAAAGCAGAGCACUUGGAUGAAGAGUACAACCAUCCCUGAUAGAGAAGGGCUGUUCUUUGGUAAAGAGUAUAUCAGUAGCUUCACUUCCCUGCCGGAGUCCCCAGAUAAGCUCUAGAGAAGAUGCUCAAUUUAAGCGGGGAGUAGGGAGGAAGGGAGGAAGAAAAAUAUAAUAAUAAUAAGAUUGAAACAGUCCCUGCUUGUCUGU
rnacentral:snRNA from 1 species